rnacentral:lncRNA from 1 species
UGGAGAACAAUUGAUUUAGCAACUCAAAGAAAUAUUGAAAGACACCGUUUCUGAAACUCCCUUACAAGCAGAAACCUGGUGCCAAUCACAUCUGGAAUUGACCUAUUGCUACAAACACAUUGGGAACUUCGGAAAUGCAUGUGCAAGCUGGGAGAGUCUCCUCUAGGCCUGGUCAGUAACUCCUCCUGCCGAAGAACCAUGAGCUGAUAAACACCCAUGCAGAAAGGCCAAGACAGAGAAAAAUGACAACCUGCUCUUCAUAGACAUCAAGAGAGACUGAGGAUAUACAGAGUAUAUACACUAUAUAUAUACACAGAAUAUACAGAGAAUAUAUAUAGGUAUGUGAUAAUAAA